GUCUGGAGCGCAAGUUUCGCUUUUAGAAAUUGUCAAGGUGACCAAGGGGACACUUGCGGGAAUUCACUUUCCUUUGGCCAGUCAGUGUAAUAGAUGUACACGAGCUGGAGAUUCUCCCACAUGUGCUCCAAAGGCAAGCUGGACCAUGCGGACGAUGCCUGGCAGUAAUCCGAAGAAGUACACGCUUCCCACGAUGACGUCUUGCUCCCAGCAAACGCUGCACGCCCAGGCACCAGCGCUUUACAGUCUCGGUUUCCUACCAAGUUCUCCGGCUGAAAGCAAACGCGACGAUCCAGACUCAUUCCAAAACAUUUUAAACGACUUUUUUUUUUUUUUUCAGUAAACCAGAAAUUGUCACCAGAAGUCUAUUAAAUUAUUGUCAAAUCGA